ACACACCAAACUACUUCAUAGCCACAAGUAUAACUGUCAGCUGAGCAGCACCUCCAUUUUGAUAAAAAAUUACUUCGAACUAAUUUGAACAUUCAUUUUGACAGUAUCUAAAUUCUAAACCAAAAAUUAGUUCCUCGACUCUAUUGCUGAUACAUUUUCAUGAACAACGCUACUGCCAACCAAACAUGGCCUUGAUUCCAUCUCCUAAUAUCCUUCAAUUCUCCGUUCAAUCUCCGUCUACAUCAGUUCACUAUCUUUUCUUCAGCUCGCCGUGGCCUUGUUCACAGCAGCUUUCAAAGAGAAAUGUAAAUGUUCCGUUGGUUCCGAUCGCUGUGAAGGUUUCGUCCAAGGUCAGAUGUUUUACGAAAUCGACGGAGGAGAAUCGGUGGAUUGAACCCGAGAAUGUUGCUGAUGAUGACGUGAAUGGAGUGAGAGAAGACAUCAAGGUACAGCCGCCGCAGAGGAUUGUUACCUCGGCUAGUGAUUCUUUGUCGCUUGGAAUUCGAGAGCCGGUUUAUGAGGUGGUAGAAGUGAAGGCAAAUGGGAUAGUAUCGAGAAAGAAGAUAAAUAGACGGCAAUUGUUGAAGUCCAGUGGUCUUCGCCCAAGGGAUAUCCGGAGUGUUGAUCCAUCACUUUUUUUGACAAACUCUAUGCCCUCUUUGCUGGUACGUGAGCAUGCCAUUCUGCUAAAUUUGGGUUCAUUACGAGCAAUAGCAAUGCAAGAGUGUGUCCUUAUAUUUGACUAUAACUGUAAAGGAGGGAAAGCUUUUAUAGACACGUUGUUACCUCGACUAAACCCCGGAAACAUGAAUGGAGGUCCAUGUAUGCCGUUUAUGAUUGAAGCCGUUGAAGCAGCGUUACUUUCACGUGUGCAGCAUUUGGAGCAGAGACUAAUGAAUAUAGAACCUCGUGUUCAAGCACUGCUUGAGGUUUUGCCCAACCGAUUAACUGCUGACAUAUUGGAGCAACUCCGUAUCAGCAAGCAAACCUUGGUUGAAUUGAGUUCAAGGGCAGAAGCUCUUAGACAAAUGCUCCUUGAUCUGUUGGAGGACACUCAUGAAAUACGUCGUAUAUGUAUAAUAGGAAGAAACUGCACACUUACCAAGGGGAAUGACAAAUUGGAAUGCUCUGUUCCCCUUGAAAAACAGAUAGCUGAGGAAGAGGAGGAAGAAAUUGAGAUGCUGUUGGAAAAUUACCUUCAGAGAUGUGAAUCUUGUCACGGGCAGUCGGAAAGGCUUCUUGAUUCUGCUAAAGAAAUGGAAGAUUCUAUUGCUGUCAAUCUAAGCUCUCGGAGGCUUGAGGUAAGCAGAGUGGAAUUACUUCUUCAGGUUGGGACCUUUUGUGUGGCAGUUGGUGCUCUAGUUGCAGGUAUUUUUGGCAUGAACUUGAGGUCCUACCUUGAAGAACACGUGUUUGCGUUUUGGCUAACGACAGCUGGCAUAAUUGUUGGUGCUGUUGUGGGAUUUUUUCUAAUGUAUUCAUAUCUUAAGACUAGGAAGAUACUAUAAAUGAGGAGGUCAUUCAAGCCAAGGUGAUGAUACCAAUGGUGAACUCUGUUAUUGGAUUACAUUUUAUGAGGUUCAUAAAGCGUUGUUGACAAUUAUCAUUAGGUGGAUCUGUAUGUAGCACUUAAAUUGCCUGGCGAGAUUGCAGCCGUGGUAGCUGUUAGCACGUCUUCCAAGCCCAGCUAGAAACAGAACCACGUUUGAUCAAGGACUGCAAUGUCUUAAAAUUGCGAUCAUCAAACAAGAUCUUUCUUGAAAUGAUGUUGCGAAAACGCUAUCCACUACUCAGACCGAUCAAUAUCAUUGUCGACUAAAGGGAUAUCUUGCCAGAAACACUUACAGCAUAGUUAAAAAUUACAGAUGUUUUACUAGUACAACAUCUACAGCUAAUUUUUUUGGUUAGAUAAUGAGUGGUAAUGCAAAUGCCAUGUGAGUCUGGGUCCCUGCCAGCUCAACUGAUAUUUAGGCACAACAAUAACAUAAGCCAGUUGACAGAU